GUGGGUAAGUCUUAUACGACUAGCUCCUGAAGAAUCCCCCAGGAUUGGAAGAUAGCAAGGGUAUUUGGUUGAGCGGUGCGAUGUAAGUAGCUUACCCACC
rnacentral:SRP_RNA from 1 species